rnacentral:rRNA from 1 species
GACGAACGCUGGCGGCGUGCUUAACACAUGCAAGUCGAGCGGUAAGGCCCUUUCGGGGGUACACGCGCGGCGAACGAGCGGGUAACACGUACGCAACCUGCCCUUCACUUUCGGUUAACUGACGGCAACGGAGGCGAAUACCUGCCGUGUAUGACCUACUCAUGCGUGGUGGGGGAAGGCAUUUCGGGGGGUGGGGGUAGGCUCGCGGCUUAUCUGCUUUUUGGUGGGGGGAUGGCCUACCAAGGCUUUGGCGGGUAGCCGGCCUGAGAGGGGGACCGGCCACAUUGGGACUGAGAUACGGCCCAGACUCCUACGGGAGGCAGCAGUGGGGAAUAUUGCACAAUGGGCGGAAGCCUGAUGCAGCAACGCCGCGUGCGGGAUGACGGCCUUCGGGUUGUAAACCGCUUUCGCCUGUGACGAAGCGGGAGUGACGGUAAUGGGUAAAGAAGCACCGGCUAACUACGUG